GUAGGGUGCAAGCGUUAUCCGGAAUCAUUGGGCGUAAAGAGCUCGUAGGCGGUUCAGCAAGUCGGCUGUGAAAUCCCGAGGCUUAACCUCGGAACUGCAGUCGAUACUGCUGUGACUAGAGUCCGGUAGGGGAGAAUGGAAUUCCCGGUGUAGCGGUGAAAUGCGCAGAUAUCGGGAGGAACACCAGUAGCGAAGGCGGUUCUCUGGGCCGGUACUGACGCUGAGGAGCGAAAGCGUGGGUAGCAAACAGGAUUAGAUACCCUGGUAGUCCACGCCGUAAACGUUGGACACUAGGUGUGGCGUUCCGACCAACGGGUGCCCGUGCCGAAGCUAACGCAUUAAGUGUCCCGCCUGGGGAGUACGGCCGCAAGGCUA
rnacentral:rRNA from 1 species